AAACAGAUAACAGAACAUGGCAUAGCCUUCUGGCUUGCCAGCUCUUGUCAAAGCAUCCGCCCCAUGCAAGUAUGGAAAACAGUUGUUAAAUGUUGUUGUUGUUGAUGAUGAUAAUGAUCAACUUUAUCUGAGUAUGCUAAUGUCCUAUCUGAUCAUUUUAAUUAUUGGUAACUUCCUCUUUCCCACACGUAUUCCAUACAAUGGCUCCAAUAAAUACAAGGAAUAAAAUGGAUAAGGAGAAUCAUACAUUAAAGUCAUAGAUAAUGGUCUCACAGUAUUGGGUGAUAAUUACCUAAGUACAGUAUGGGCAGGUAAUAUGUACAUAUAAUUUCAUAAAGAUAUAGGAUUAUAACCAUGUUAAAAUGGUUAGCCAACAUACAAUGGAAAAUAUAGGAAUCCAAGGUAUUCAUCUUAUAGAUCAGGCUUGCUUGGCACAAUUAGAAGUAGCACAACAGUAGCUAAGCAAAUAAUGAACAAUAAAGGUGAGGUUUGUGGGAAGGAGGAAGUUACCAAUAAUUAAAAUGAUCAGAUAGGACAUUAGCAUACUCAGAUAGAGUUGAUCAUUAUCAUCAUCAACAACAACAACAUUUAACAACUGUUUUUCAUACUUGCAUGUGGCGGAUGCUUUGACAAGAGCUGGCAAACCAGAAGGCUAUGCCAUGUUCUGUUAUCUGUUUUGGCAUGUUUUCUAUGGCUAGAUGCCCUCCCUAGCGCUAACCACUUCACAGAGUGUACUGGGUACAUUUUUCAUGGUACCAGUACCAGUAGGAUCAGCAAGUAACUUGCAAAAUAAGACAAAGGUCCCUUGACUAGAGGGAGUAGUACAGAAGGAAGUG